rnacentral:rRNA from 1 species
UGGGGAAUUUUGGACAAUGGGGGAAACCCUGAUCCAGCCAUGCCGCGUGCGGGAAGAAGGCCUUCGGGUUGUAAACCGCUUUUAGCUGGGAAGAAAAGAUCACGGAUAACACCCGUGGUUCUUGACGGUACCGGCGGAAUAAGCACCGGCUAACUACGUGCCAGCAGCCGCGGUAAUACGUAGGGUGCGAGCGUUAAUCGGAAUUACUGGGCGUAAAGCGUGCGCAGGCGGUUCGUUGUGUCCGUCGUGAAAGCCCCGGGCUUAACCUGGGAACUGCGAUGGAAACUAGCGAGCUGGAGUGUGGCAGAGGGGGGUGGAAUUCCGCGUGUAGCAGUGAAAUGCGUAGAGAUGCGGAGGAACACCGAUGGCGAAGGCAGCCCCCUGGGCUAACACUGACGCUCAGGCACGAAAGCGUGGGGAGCAAACAGGAUUAGAUACCCUGGUAGUCCACGCCCUAAACCAUGUCAACUGGGUGUUCGGGAAGCGAUUUCUGAGUACCGUAGCUAACGCGUGAAGUUGACCGCCUGGGGAGUACGGCCGCAAGGUUAA